rnacentral:rRNA from 1 species
UACGGAGGGGGCUAGCGUUGUUCGGAAUUACUGGGCGUAAAGCGUACGUAGGCGGCUUUGUAAGUUAGAGGUGAAAGCCCGGGGCUUAACCCCGGAAUUGCCUUUAAGACUGCAUCGCUUGAAUCAUGGAGAGGUGAGUGGAAUUCCGAGUGUAGAGGUGAAAUUCGUAGAUAUUCGGAAGAACACCAGUGGCGAAGGCGGCUCACUGGCCCGUUACCGACGCUCAGGCGCGACAGCGUGGGGAGCAAACAGG